ensembl:misc_RNA 7SK 7SK RNA
GGAUGUAGGGGCAGCCUGGCUGCGACAUCUAUCACCCCAUUGAUAGCCCGGGAUCGUUCAGCUGAUCUGGCCGGCUAGGCAGGUGUCCCCUUCCUCCCUCCCAUGUGUAUCCCUCCUGAAGCUGCAUGCUCAGUGGAAGAGGAAGAUAUUCCUUAAUAGGGUCCAUUCUUUGGUCAGGGGUGUACGAGUAUCUGUUCUUCCCUGCUACAACCUCCAAACAAGCUCUCAAGGUCCAUUUACAAGAGAACAUAGGAUAUUCAAGCUUCCAGACUCUAGUCACUGAAUUUUUUC